GUGUAUAAAAUUUGUCUAUACUCACAGUGAGCAUAGGUGUAUAGAAUUUUAUUGCGGAUCAUACGCGGUGUAGAUAUAGAGUUAUACAAAAUUCGACGAACCACUAUUAUUCGGAAAUUGUACCAAAGGAGAAACGUACACACGUAACUAACUGAACUCCGAAGCAAACUAGAGGGAGGUGAAAUGCUCUAUAGCCUGGCGAUAGACCGAAAGAAAGUGAGACGAAACAACGCGUUCAAGAGUUUCUAUAGUUCCGAUACACCGUUAAAAGCCCGCUGCCGAGCGGAUCGCUUUAAACAUUGCGGUCCCGUCGAGUAAAUUAUUUCGCCGGGAGGUGCGGCGGCUUCCCGUAAAACGUAAAACGGAGAUACCACACCCCUGAAACCAUGAUAAUACAGUGCACUGUGUACACAAAUUCGGUUAGACGUGUUCAUCGUCGUAGAAAUUCGGAACAUAAAAAAAAAAAAACGAUACAAUUACUCAGCCGGUGAAAAUUUGCGACAAGUUUUUCCGGUAAGAUUGACGGAUCGCGUCUGGAAAACAAUUUUUGGCUGAAAACGUUUUUUAAAAAAAAUAUUGGGAAUUCAAUUGCAAGGGUUUGCAGCUUGGGGAAAAUUGCUGAGAUUAUUGCACACGUAUCUUUGAACAGCGAGGGCGGAUCACGGCCAUGUUGAAAAUUUUCUCUAUACCUAUCAUUGCGUAAAACUUAAAAGAGGCGCGAAUUUAACACUAUCCAGACAUCCACGAUCCGCACGUCCACCGAGCGAUGGCUGACCGAACGGCUCUGUUAUUUUCAUCGUUCACCCCAAAAAUUCGUGCGCAGUAUUUCGAUAUUACCUCAUAAAAAAACGAAAAAAAAAAAAAAAAAACAGAGAUUCAAACCGAGAAGAUCCCGGGCUGAAAAAAAGCCGCAAGUUUCGAAGGUUUCGAAAUCUUCUCGAGAUUAAAAUUCCUCUCAACCUUCAAUUGAGAUGGCAACGAUAUCGCGUCCACCCCUCGUACACGCGUCGCGCAAACGGAGUCGAAGGAAACGAGAUCGUGAACAAAGUUUUCGACUCAUCCGUCUCCGGACCGCAUAGUAUCUACCCAGGUACCUACUGCACCUAUUAGACUUUUUUACGGUCUUGGAGACGAGCAUGAUGGGAUUACAAGUCGGCUUCGGACGAGUUGCAGCAACAGAUGAGGUGUAGGCGCGCGGGUCUCGCCGCUCGCAACAGGAGUAUAAAAUUACUAUAUCGUGUAAACAGCAUCGCGUCGGCACGUGUGAUGGCCGCACAAGGCACCCUGGGUGGCCCGGACGGCCGACGGAGAUCCGUCGAAACGACGAACGUCAUCCCAUCACGACGUAACGACCGCUCUCUGAUCUUCUCAUCCCCUCGGAAUUAACGCUACUCCACGUCUGCGAUCCCGUCAGACUUUGUGAAAAAAAGUCGAGUUCUUUUCCGUUCGACGAUUUUUCUGAUCUCGGAUGUGUCAUAGAUAUUCUCCUGAAAAAUUUCAGGGACGAUUUAUUGAAGUAAUAAUUUUCCUGGAGCAUACGUCCUCGGGGAAGUAGGAAACGGUUUAGCCCCAAUUACGAGGGUCCUGUGGGGCAUCAGGAGCAACGGUAGGAGUUUUGUUUUAUUUUAUUUUUUCCUUGCCAUCGUAAGCUUCGACUUCGGGGUAGCGCACAGGCAGCGUGCUGCAGGCCAGUUUAAGGAUGAGACACUCGACGGUGUCACACAAAAUGUCACGGGUGCUCAAAACACGGGGUACCAACAAAAGAGUAACUCUAAACAGCAGCCCCCCCUUAUCUCAUCGCGUAGCCUCGAGACCACAACUCGACCCUUGACGCAAACCCUUAACUGGGUGCAGUUUUUUUUUUUUUUUUUUUCAGGACCGAUGCACGAGGUGGUCUUCGCAUAAAUCAACCACCUCUCAACUCGUCCGUCCACCUUUGCUCUUCUGGUCACGGAAAAUAUUUGUCAUACUUCGAAUAAAAAAGUAAAAAAAUCCACGUUGCU